rnacentral:misc_RNA from 1 species
GAUGAAGAACGUAGCGAAAUGCGAUAAGUAAUGUGAAUUGCAGAAUUCAGUGAAUCAUCGAAUCUUUGAACGCACAUUGCGCCCGCCAGUAUUCUGGCGGGCAUGCCUGUUCGAGCGUCAUUUCAACCAUCAAGCCCCCGGGCUUGUGUUGGGGACCUGCGGCUGCCGCAGGCCCUGAAAAGCAGUGGCGGGCUCGCUGUCACACCGAGCGUAGUAGAUUUUAUCUCGCUCAGGGCGUGCUGCGGGUUCCGGCCGUUAAACCACCUUCAUAACCCAAGGUUGACCUCGGAUCAGGUAGGAAGACCCGCUGAACUUAAGCAUACAAUAAGCGGAGGA